CUACCUUUGGCCACUUAACUUGGUGGAAAUUGCUGUGUACCAACAACAUUAUGGACAAUAAUAUUGUGGUUAUACCAAGCUUGAGAGGCUCUUUUAGUUUAAGAGCCCAGAACUAUUUUCUACUUUAGCUAUUUUUGCCGUAUGCUCUCAAUUGCGCCGAGCUGCUCUACAAUGGUUGGAAAGCUGCUAAAAAGUUACUGGACUUAACAGCUGCAGAAAAUGUUUCCAACAAAAAGCAUAUCUCCGACCAUUCAAAUCAAAUGAUGAUGUCCACUGUUUAGCAUAAAAAAACAACAGCAUCACCAUGUUACAGACAGGGGAUCCCUACCAUUGCAUGAUUUCUGCAACCACCUAGAAGCUCCAAAGACUUACAAAUGCUAUGUAACCUAAUGUACUACCUCCUGCAAUUACAAAUGCUAAACCCUAA